rnacentral:misc_RNA from 1 species
AAAGUCGUAACAAGGUUUCCGUAGGUGAACCUGCGGAAGGAUCAUUAUUGAAAUCCUUUGGAUGCUGCUGGCCCCUCGGGGCAUGUGCACUCCUGCCUUUUCAUCUCACCUGUGAACUUAUUGUAGACCAGGUUUUAACUAACCUGUGUCUAUGUUAUCUUUACACACACACAAGUUUAUCAGAAUGUCUCCAAGACCUUGAAUGGUCAAAAAAAAGUUAAUACAACUUUCAGCAAUGGAUCUCUUGGUUCUC